UGAUAAAAAUUUCAUCUUCUACUAUUAAAACUAACUUGGCUGACACAAUAAUUAGACAAUCGCACGUGGCAUGCCACAUAUAGCUCAUUUUGAUACAGUGACCAAUUUUUAACAGUAGAAUUGGAUGAAAAUUUUAAAA
rfam:Gossypium raimondii Chr13_contig_934, whole genome shotgun sequence.